AUGACGAUGAAGAGAUGCAUCAUUCCUAGCAUCCUGCUGAUGCUCGCACUUGAGGUCGCCGGCCGCCCCUCCGCUGUUGCCGUCACCAGCGACGAGGGUACCAUUCUCCUGCCGAGCGAAGGCAAAGAGCAAGUAGGAACGGCGGCGGCUUCCAGGCCAUGGGAUUGCUGCGACAACACCAUAUGCACCAGGUCCUUGCCGCCUAUCUGCAUCUGUCUGGACGAGGUCGACGAGUGCGCCUCCACCUGCAUGGACUGCGUGCCGUCCGUCUCAAACCCCUUCCGCCGCGUCUGCGGAGACCAGUACUUCGGCGACCCCGGGCCCAAGUGCACCAACACCGUCGCCGGCGACCACAACGAAGACGCCCUCAAAGCCAAAGGUGAUCACCAAGAUAGCGUAGCGGCGGCGGCAGAGGAGGAGAAGCCGUGGGAGUGCUGUGACCAGGUCAUACCCGCCGAUGUGCCGCUGCGUGGACCAGGUCGAGCAGUGCGCUACAACAUGCAAGAGCUGCGGGGUGUCCAUCUUGAACCCGUUCCGCCGCGUCUGCAACGACUGGUACAACGGCUUCCCAGGUCGCAGGUGCACCGAGGCCGCCGGCAGCGGCGGUAA
rnacentral:rRNA from 1 species